rnacentral:rRNA from 1 species
AUUGAACGCUGGCGGCAUGCUUUACACAUGCAAGUCGGACGGCAGCACAGAGAAGCUUGCUUCUUGGGUGGCGAGUGGCGAGCGGGUGAGUAAUAUAUCGGAACGUCCCGAGUAUUGGGGGAUAACUAAUCGAAAGAUUAGCUAUUACAGCAUAUUCUCUGUGGAGGAAAGCGGAGGACCUUCGGGCCUUGCGUUCUUCGGGAGGCCGAUAUCUGAUUAGCUAGUUGGUGGGGUAAAGGCCUACCAAGGCGACGAUCAGUAGCGGGUCUGAGAGGAUGAUCCGCCACACUGGAACUGAGACACGGCCCAGACUCCUACGGGAGGCAGCAGUGGGGAAUUUUGGACAAUGGGCGCAAGCCUGAUCCAGCCAUGCCGCGUGUCUGAAGAAGGCCUUCGGGUUGUAAAGGACUUUUGUCAGGGAAGAAAAGGCUGUUGCUAAUAUCGACAGCUGAUGACGGUACCUGAAGAAUAAGCACCGGCUAACUACGUG